UUCUCAUUCAACCAAAAUAACCUUAAAAUCUCUGCAGGGAGAACGAGAGAGAGAGAGAGAGAGAGAGAGAGAGAGAGAGAGAGAGAGAGAGAGAGAGCGAGAGCGAGAGAGAGACAUGGGUUAAGAUUCUGUUUGUAUAACACUAUUUGUUUUGUUUAUAAUAAGGCUGCUGACGGUGCCAUCAACAGCGCUGCCAUGGCAACUGUAUAUGUUGAAAAGACAAGUUUCUGCUAGAAGCACUGAGGUCGGGUGAGAUAUACUGCAUGGUGGUGUGCAUGGGUGACGGGGAAAGGUUCUUAUCUUGGGACACAACUACAACUUUU